AUUGAACGCUGGCGGCAGGCCUAACACAUGCAAGUCGAGCGCGCGGCGGACGGGUGAGUAAUGUCUGGGAAACUGCCUGAUGGAGGGGGAUAACUACUGGAAACGGUAGCUAAUACCGCAUCCCAUCAGAUGUGCCCAGAUGGGAUUAGCUAGUAGGUUGGGUAAUGGCUCACCUAGGCGACGAUCCCUAGCUGGUCUGAGAGGAUGACCAGCCACAAUGGAACUUAGACACGGUCCAGACUCCUACGGGAGGCAGCAGUGGGGAAUAUUGCACAAUGGGCGCAAGACUGAUGCAGCAAGGCCGCGUGUGUGGAGAAGGCCUUCGGGUUGUAAAGCAAUUUCAGCGAGGAGGCGUUACUCGCAGAAGAAGCACCGGCUAACUCCGUGCCAGCAGCCGCGGUAAUUC
rnacentral:rRNA from 1 species